GAUGAACGCUGGCGGCGUGCCUAAUACAUGCAAGUCGAGCGAACGGACGAGAAGCUUGCUUCUCUGAUGUUAGCGGCGGACGGGUGAGUAACACGUGGAUAACCUACCUAUAAGACUGGGAUAACUUCGGGAAACCGGAGCUAAUACCGGAUAAUAUUUUGAACCGCAUGGUUCAAAAGUGAAAGACGGCCUUGCUGUCACUUAUAGAUGGAUCCGCGCUGCAUUAGCUAGUUGGUAAGGUAACGGCUUACCAAGGCAACGAUGCAUAGCCGACCUGAGAGGGUGAUCGGCCACACUGGAACUGAGACACGGUCCAGACUCCUACGGGAGGCAGCAGUAGGGAAUCUUCCGCAAUGGGCGAAAGCCUGACGGAGCAACGCCGCGUGAGUGAUGAAGGUCUUCGGAUCGUAAAACUCUGUUAUUAGGGAAGAACAUAUGUGUAAGUAACUGUGCACAUCUUGACGGUACCUAAUCAGAAAGCCACGGCUAACUACGUGCCAGCAGCCGCGGUAAUACGUAGGUGGCAAGCGUUAUCCGGAAUUAUUGGGCGUAAAGCGCGCGUAGGCGGUUUUUUAGUCUGAUGUGAAAGCCCACGGCUCAAUCGUGGAGGGUCAUUGGAAACUGGAAAACUUGAAUGCAGAAGAGGAAAGUGGAAUUCCAUGUGUAGCGGUGAAAUGCGCAGAGAUAUGGAGGAACACCAGUGGCGAAGGCGACUUUCUGGUCUGUAACUGACGCUGAUGUGCGAAAGCGUGGGGAUCAAACAGGAUUAGAUACCCUGGUAGUCCACGCCGUAAACGAUGAGUGCUAAGUGUUAGGGGGUUUCCGCCCCUUAGUGCUGCAGCUAACGCAUUAAGCACUCCGCCUGGGGAGUACGACCGCAAGGUUGAAACUCAAAGGAAUUGACGGGGACCCGCACAAGCGGUGGAGCAUGUGGUUUAAUUCGAAGCAACGCGAAGAACCUUACCAAAUCUUGACAUCCUUUGACAACUCUAGAGAUAGAGCUUUCCCCUUCGGGGGACAAAGUGACAGGUGGUGCAUGGUUGUCGUCAGCUCGUGUCGUGAGAUGUUGGGUUAAGUCCCGCAACGAGCGCAACCCUUAAGCUUAGUUGCCAUCAUUAAGUUGGGCACUCUAAGUUGACUGCCGGUGACAAACCGGAGGAAGGUGGGGAUGACGUCAAAUCAUCAUGCCCCUUAUGAUUUGGGCUACACACGUGCUACAAUGGACAAUACAACGGGCAGCGAAACCGCGAGGUCAAGCAAAUCCCAUAAAGUUGUUCUCAGUUCGGAUUGUAGUCUGCAACUCGACUACAUGAAGCUGGAAUCGCUAGUAAUCGUAGAUCAGCAUGCUACGGUGAAUACGUUCCCGGGUCU
rnacentral:rRNA from 1 species